GAGCGGAUUGAAGGGAGCUUGCUCCCUGAUAUUAGCGGCGGACGGGUGAGUAACACGUGGGCAACCUGCCCUGCAGAUGGGGAUAACUCCGGGAAACCGGGGCUAAUACCGAAUAAUCGGUUCUUCCGCAUGGAAGAACUCUGAAAGACGGUUUCGGCUGUCACUGCAGGAUGGGCCCGCGGCGCAUUAGCUAGUUGGUGGGGUAACGGCCUACCAAGGCGACGAUGCGUAGCCGACCUGAGAGGGUGAUCGGCCACACUGGGACUGAGACACGGCCCAGACUCCUACGGGAGGCAGCAGUAGGGAAUCUUCCACAAUGGACGAAAGUCUGAUGGAGCAACGCCGCGUGAGCGAAGAAGGUUUUCGGAUCGUAAAGCUCUGUUGCGAGGGAAGAACAAGUACGGGAGUAACUGCCCGUACCUUGACGGUACCUCGUUAGAAAGCCACGGCUAACUACGUGCCAGCAGCCGCGGUAAUACGUAGGUGGCAAGCGUUGUCCGGAAUUAUUGGGCGUAAAGCGCGCGCAGACGGUCCUUUAAGUCUGAUGUGAAAGCCCACGGCUCAACCGUGGAGGGUCAUUGGAAACUGGAGGACUUGAGUACAGAAGAGGAAAGUGGAAUUCCACGUGUAGCGGUGAAAUGCGUAGAGAUGUGGAGGAACACCAGUGGCGAAGGCGACUUUCUGGUCUGUAACUGACGUUGAGGCGCGAAAGCGUGGGGAGCAAACAGGAUUAGAUACCCUGGUAGUCCACGCCG
rnacentral:rRNA from 1 species